rnacentral:rRNA from 1 species
UACAGAGGGUGCGAGCGUUAAUCGGAAUUAUUGGGUUUAAAGGGUGCGUAGGUGGCCUUAUAAGUCAGCGGUGAAAGUCUGCAGCUUAACUGUAGAACUGCCAUUGAUACUGUAAGGCUUGAGUACUGAUGAGGUAGGCGGAAUUGAUAGUGUAGCGGUGAAAUGCAUAGAUAUUAUCAAGAACACCGAUUGCGAAGGCAGCUUACUAAGGAGUUACUGACACUGAGGCACGAAAGCGUGGGGAUCAAACAGG